AUUGAACGCUGGCGGCAGGCCUAACACAUGCAAGUCGAACGAGUGGCGGACGGGUGAGUCAUGUCUGGGAAACUGCCUGAUGGAGGGGGAUAACUACUGGAAACGGUAGCUAAUACCGCAUACCAUCAGAUGUGCCCAGAUGUGAUUAGCCAGUUGGUGGGGUAACGGCUCACCAAGGCGACGAUCACUAGCUGGUCUGAGAGGAUGACCAGCAAAACUGGAACUGAGACACGGUCCAGACUCCUACGGGAGUCAGCAGUGGGGAAUAUUGCACAAGGGGCGCAAGCCGUAUGCAGCAAUGCCGGUUGUAUGAAGAAGGCCUUCGGGUUGUAAAGUACUUUCAGCGGGGAGGCGUUACCCGAAGAAGAAGCACCGGCUAACUCCGUGCCAGCAGCCGCGGUAAUAC
rnacentral:rRNA from 1 species